UCCGGUUCCUCACCAGCAGUCUCCUUAGAGUGCCUGCCAUUACGCACUGGCAACUAAGGACAAGGGUUGCGCUCGUUACGGGACUUAACCCAACAUCUCACAACACGAGCUGACGACAGCCAUGCAGCACCUGUCUCUACGUUCCUUUCGGCACCCCAACCUCUCAGUCGGGUUCGUAGGAUGUCAAGAGUAGGUAAGGUUCUUCGCGUUGCGUCGAAUUAAACCACAUGCUCCACCGCUUGUGCGGGCCCCCGUCAAUUCCUUUGAGUUUUAAUCUUGCGACCGUACUCCCCAGGCGGAAAACUUAUCGCGUUAGCUUCGAUACCAGGCAGCUUCGCCGCCCAACAUCUAGUUUUCAUCGUUUACAGCGUGGACUAC
rnacentral:misc_RNA from 1 species